rnacentral:rRNA from 1 species
UGGGGAAUCUUGCGCAAUGGGCGAAAGCCUGACACAGCAACGCCGCGUGAGCGAAGAAGGCCUUCGGGUUGUAAAGCUCUGUCAGGGGGAAAGAAGGCACCUGGGUUAAUAGCCCAAGGGCUGACGGUACCUCCAAAGGAAGCCACGGCUAACUACGUGCCAGCAGCCGCGGUAAUACGUAGGUGGCGAGCGUUGUCCGGAAUCAUUGGGCGUAAAGAGCGCGUAGGUGGCUUGUCAGGUCUGAUGCGAAAACCUGGGGCUUAACUCCAGGCCUGCAUCGGAAACCGGCUUGCUAGAGUCUGGGAGAGGAGAGCGGAAUUCCUGGUGUAGCGGUGAAAUGCGUAGAUAUCAGGAGGAACACCGGUAGCGAAGGCGGCUCUCUGGAACAGUACUGACGCUGAGGCGCGAAAGCUAGGGGAGCGAACAG